UACGGAGGGUGCAAGCGUUAUCCGGAUUCACUGGGUUUAAAGGGUGCGUAGGAGGGCAGGUAAGUCAGUGGUGAAAUCCCCGAGCUUAACUUGGGAACUGCCGUUGAUACUAUCUGUCUUGAAUAUUUGUGGAGGUGAGCGGAAUAUGUCAUGUAGCGGUGAAAUGCUUAGAUAUGACAUAGAACACCAAUUGCGAAGGCAGCUCGCUACACAUAUAUUGACUCUGAGGCACGAAAGCGUGGGGAUCAAACAGG
rnacentral:rRNA from 1 species